CCUUAACCCAGCCUCAGCGAGAGAUCACAGAGAAGCCUUGGCUCAUCUAGGAAAUGCAUUCCUGUAGACAGUAGCAGGGGACCCAGUGGACUUACAGGAAGCAUCUUAAACAUUUACAACAGUGACCCCUCGAACUGAAAUACGACGAGCACAGAACAGAAAAUCCCAGGUUUAAAUCUCAGCUCUUUGCGGGCUAAAGACACGGAGAGCUUUUGUUUUCUGAGCUUUGAUUUGGGAGAUGACAAAGUUCUGCUGGUGUUGGCUGCAUAACGAUGUGAAUUUACAAAUCUGCAUCUGUGUAAGCAUGUGCCCAAGGAGGGCAGACAAGGGCUAGAUCCCUUGGAUCUGGAGCUACAGACAAGCGUGAGCUCCCUGAGUGGGUGGGUCCUCUGGAAGACCAGCAAGCAGUCAACCUGUGAGCCGCCUCUCCAACCCCUGAAUGGAUUUAAUGCCGGUUUAGUUUUCUACUUAAAAAAAUGGUUCAAACAGUAAAUUAGUAAUUAGCAACAUUGACAGCUGCAAAGCACUAAGCUAGAAUUCAAAGUCUCCAGGGCAUUCACCUCUACGGCUAGAGACCAAACCCAAGAUGCUGGCACAAAAAAAUCCACGUGUCCCAUCCUGUCAGACAUGUUUAUUCCAGUCCACAGCCAGGGAAAAUGGCUCAUGAAGGUUGAUGCUGGAAGCAGGGUGCUAUCAGAUCAACGUGAUCCAAAGACAGAAGGCUGGCCCUCCAUGCUUAGCUCAGGGCUUCAGAGCUGGUCACGGGGAGAAAAAUGGCUGUGACACAAGGAAAUCCCUUCACUCUAUAAAGGAAGCCGGUACCAGCAUCUUGCUCCAGGCACUUGCAGAAGGAUACUUCUGCAGGCACAGGCUGUGUUUAAAUUCACUAAUUAUGGUGGUUUAAAUAAGAAAUGUCCUCCAAGGGCUCAGUUAUUUAGACAGUUGAUCCCAGCUGGUGGCGUUGUUUGAGGAUAUUAUGGAGCCUUUAGGAGGUAGCGACCCUGCGGGAGGAAGUACAUCGCUAGAGAGUAUAUAGUCCCACUGCACUUCUGUCUUCUGCUUUCUGUGCUCAUUGAAAAAUGGUGGGCUCAGCUUCCUGCUCCUGCUACUAAGCUACUUCUGCUGCCAUGCCUCUCCGCUGUGAUGUUCUCUCAUCCCUUGGGAAUCUUAAGUCAAAAUAAACAUUCUUAUUUAA